rnacentral:rRNA from 1 species
CCUACGGGUGGCAGCAGUGGGGAAUAUUGCACAAUGGGGGAAACCCUGAUGCAGCGACGCCGCGUGAGUGAAGAAGUAUUUCGGUACGUAAAGCUCUAUCAGCAGGGAAGAAAAUGACGGUACCUGACUAAGAAGCCCCGGCUAACUACGUGCCAGCAGCCGCGGUAAUACGUAGGGGGCAAGCGUUAUCCGGAUUUACUGGGUGUAAAGGGAGCGUAGACGUCAGCGCAAGUCUGGAGUGAAAUCCCAUGGCUUAACCAUGGAACUGCUUUGGAAACUGUGCAGCUAGAGUGCAGGAGAGGUAAGCGGAAUUCCUAGUGUAGCGGUGAAAUGCGUAGAUAUUAGGAGGAACACCAGUGGCGAAGGCGGCUUACUGGACUGUAACUGACGUUGAGGCUCGAAAGCGUGGGGAGCAAACAGGAUUAGAUACCCCAGUAGUC